CCUACGGGGGGCAGCAGUGGGGGAUAUUGCACAAUGGGGGGAACCCUGAUGCAGCGACGCCGCGUGGGUGAAGGAGCGUUUCGGCGCGUAAAGCCCUAUCGGCAGGGAAGAAGGAGGACGGUACCUGACUAAGAAGCCCCGGCUAACUACGUGCCAGCAGCCGCGGUAAUACGUAGGGGGCAAGCGUUAUCCGGAUUUACUGGGUGUAAAGGGGGCGCAGACGGCAGCGCAAGCCAGGAGUGAAAGCCCGGGGCCCAACCCCGGGACUGCUCUUGGAACUGCGCGGCUGGAGUGCAGGAGGGGCAGGCGGAAUUCCUGGUGUAGCGGUGAAAUGCGUAGAUAUUAGGAGGAACACCAGAGGCGAAGGCGAUUAACUGGACCGUAACUGACGCUGAGGCACGAAAGUGUGGGUAGCAAACAGGAUUAGAUACCCCAGUAGUC
rnacentral:rRNA from 1 species